GUGAAUCCAACUUGAGAGAUGGAAUACUCACAAGAUUGUGACAAUGUGAUAGGUCAAGUUUUUCAAGUGAAUCUAACUUGAGAGCUGGAAUACUCCUAAGAUUGUGACAAUUUUUAACAAACAAGGUUUUAAGUUUAUCCAACAACCCAUCCACCACGCCUGGAAAGCUCUCAAGCUUAUAACAAUUUGAAAUGACAAGUUUUUCUAGUGAAUCCAACUUGAGAGGUGAAAUACUCACGAGAUUGCGACAAUAUGAUAGGUAAAGUUUUUCAAGUGAAUCCAACUUGAGAGCUGGAAUACUCCUGAGAUUGUGACAACUUUUCACAAAUAGGGUUUUAAGUUUUCCAAGAAACCCAUCCACCACAUUUGGAAAACUCUCGAGCUUAUAACAACUUGAAAGGUAAAGUUUUUCUAGUGAAUCCAACUUGAGAGGUAAGAUAUUCACGAGAUUGCGACAAUGUGAUAGGUCAAGUUUUUCAAGUGAAUCCAACCUGAGAGUUGGAAUACUCCUAAGAUUGUGACAAUUUCGAACAAACAGGGUUUUAAGUUUUCCAAGAAAUCCAUCCACCACGCUUGGAAAGCUCUCGAGCUUAUAACAAUUUGAUAGGCCAAGUGUUUCUAGUGAAUCCAACUUGAGAGGUGAAAUACUCACGAGAUUGCGACAAUGUGAUAGGUCAAGUUUUUCAAGUGAAUCCAACUUGAGAGUUGGAAUACUCCUAAGAUUGUGACAAUUUCGAACAAACAGGGUUUUAAGUUUUCCAAGAAAUCCAUCCACCACGCUUGGAAAGCUCUCGAGCUUAUAACAAUUUGAAAGGACAAGUUUUUCUAGUGAAUCCAACUUGAGAGGUGAUAUACUCACGAGAUUGGGACAAUAUGAUAGGUAAAGUUUUUCAAGUGAAUCCAACUUGAGAGGUGGAAUACUCCUUAACUCGUAGCAACCUCUAAAACUCAUGGUUUUAAGCUUAUCACCAAACACCAUAUGUGAA
rnacentral:lncRNA from 1 species